GGGACCUCACACUGCUGUCCUGAGCAGCUGUAACACUGCUCUGAGCUCUUGUCCAUUCGGCUGAGACGUGAGCUGAGAGGUGUGUGUGUGUGUGUGUGUGUGUGUGUGUGCUCAUCCGUGUACGUGUGCGCGUCUCAGGCUGCUGACGGAGGACAUGAGUAAGUACCACAGCGAGCUGAGCGAGCGGGAGAAGGACCUGCUGCUGAUCCGGAGGGCCAGCGGAGCUCAGUCCUCCCAGCUGGCCCAGAUGGAGAAGAUGCUCACCCAGACCAAAGGCCUGCUGGACAAGAAGACUGAGAUGGGUAUGGAGGGCAAGCCUUGCGAAGGGGACACCAUGGUUCAGGACCUGGAGGAGAAAGUGCAGCGUAGCAAGCGCGACCGUCGCAAUUCGCUGCACCGCACGCAGCUGCUCGAGAGCCAGAUGAAGACAGUGCGUGGCGAGCUGGUGGACACGCUGGACCACCUGCAGGAGCUGCGCAACGUGCUGCGCCGCUCGCAGCAGCAGGCCGAAGAGCGCAAGGCCGCCAUGGAGAAACUGUCCACUGGGCUCAGGGAAACACAACAGGAGUUGGAACAGAGGAAUGAGCAGGUUAAGGACAAGGACGUAGCGCUGAAAGACAUACAGCAUGAGCUCCAGCAGAAAGACUUACAGGUCUCUAUACACACACCUUCAUACUCACCACACGAAUUAUGUUAUAUAACAUAUAUGCAAUAUGCUGAUAUCAUUACAUUACCUGCACCUAUACAGCUGGAUAAACACAGAUGUACAAAACAGGUACUUAAAUCCACAUAAAACUAUAAACUAUUUGUAGAAACCAAU
rnacentral:lncRNA from 1 species